UACGUAGGUGGCAAGCGUUGUUCGGAAUUACUGGGCGUAAAGGGCUCGUAGGCGGCCAACUAAGUCAUACGUGAAAUCCCUCAGCUUAACUGGGGAACUGCGUGUGAUACUGGAUGGCUUGGAUUUGGGAGAGGGAUGCGGAAUUCCAGGUGUAGCGGUGAAAUGCGUAGAUAUCUGGAGGAACACCGGUGGCGAAGGCGGCAUCCUGGACCAAUAUUGACGCUGAGGAGCGAAAGCUAGGGGAGCAAACGGG
rnacentral:rRNA from 1 species